AUAUCUAGUACCAAUUAAAUAUCACAUGCUAUUAGUUAUACCCAAAACUAUGCAAGAAUUAAAACAAAUUAUUUAAUUAAUAUCUCUAAAAGUUUAUCUUAUACAAAAUGAUUGUUUUUUUUUGGAUGUAAUGGGAUGUUUUAAGCACCUGGAUUUUAUUAUGAAAAUUUUAUGUACAUAUAGAGCCUUCAAGUGAUACAUUAAGAUUUAAGAUUAAGAGUUAAGACUUCUACCUUAUCAGACACUCACUAGAGCCUUCAAGUGAUUCAUAAAUUACUUUCAUGCCUUAAAAUAGUUCACUAAUGACAUAAUCUUAAAGCAUAAUUCAUAAAUUUGUUUUUGAGUGAAGGAUGGGGUGAGCACCA
rnacentral:lncRNA from 1 species